rnacentral:rRNA from 1 species
GACGAACGCUGGCGGCGUGCUUAACACAUGCAAGUCGAACGGAAAGGCCCUGCUUGCCGGGUACUCGAGUGGCGAACGGGUGAGUAACACGUGGGUGAUCUGCCCUGCACUUCGGGAUAAGCCUGGGAAACUGGGUCUAAUACCGGAUAGGAGCCAUUUUUAGUGUGAUGGUUGGAAAGUUUUUUCGGUGUAGGAUGAGCUCGCGGCCUAUCAGCUUGUUGGUGGGGUAAUGGCCUACCAAGGCGGCGACGGGUAGCCGGCCUGAGAGGGUGGACGGCCACAGUGGGACUGAGAUACGGCCCAGACUCCUACGGGAGGCAGCAGUGGGGAAUAUUGCACAAUGGGCGCAAGCCUGAUGCAGCGACGCCGCGUGGGGGAUGACGGACUUCGGGUUGUAAACUCCUUUCGCUAGGGACGAAGCUUUUUGUGACGGUACCUAGAGAAGAAGCACCGGCUAACUACGUG